GACGAACGCUGGCGGCGUGCUUAACACAUGCAAGUCGAACGGAAAGGCCCUGCUUUUGUGGGGUGCUCGAGUGGCGAACGGGUGAGUAACACGUGAGUAACCUGCCCUUGACUUUGGGAUAACUUCAGGCAACUGGGGCUAAUACCGGAUAGGAGCUCCUGCUGCAUGGUGGGGGUUGGAAAGUUUCGGCGGUGGGGGAUGGACUCGCGGCUUAUCAGCUUGUUGGUGGGGUAGUGGCUUACCAAGGGUUUGACGGGUAGCCGGCCUGAGAGGGUGAACGGCGACAUGGGGACUACGGUACGGAGCAGUCGCGUACGGGAGGCAGCAGUCGGGAAUAUUGCACAGUGAGGGGAAGCGUGAUGCAGAGGCGCCGCGUGCGGGAUGACGGCUUACGGGUUGUAAACCGCUUUCGCCUGAGACGAAGCGGGAGUGACGGUAAUGAGUAAAGAAGCACCGGCUAACUACGUG
rnacentral:rRNA from 1 species